CCUACGGGUGGCAGCAGUGAGGAAUAUUGGUCAAUGGACGAGAGUCUGAACCAGCCAAGCCGCGUGAAGGAUGACUGCCCUAUGGGUUGUAAACUUCUUUUAUAAAGGAAUAAAACGAGGCACGUGUGCCUUUUUGCAUGUACUUUAUGAAUAAGGAUCGGCUAACUCCGUGCCAGCAGCCGCGGUAAUACGGAGGAUCCGAGCGUUAUACGGAUUUAUUGGGUUUAAAGGGACCGUAGAUGGGUUGUUAAGUCAGUUGUGAAAGUUUGCGGUUCAACCGUAAAAUUGCAAUUGAUACUGGCAGGCUGGAGUACAGUUGAGGUAGGCGGAAUUCGUGGUGUAGCGGUGAAAUGCUUAGAUAUCACGAAGAACCCCGAUUGCGAAGGCAGCUUACUAAACUGUGACUGACAUUGAUGCUCGAAAGUGUGGGGAUCAAACAGGAUUAGAUACCCGUGUAGUC
rnacentral:rRNA from 1 species